rnacentral:tRNA from 1 species
GGUGACUCAGUGGUAGAGUGCUUGCCUUGCAUGCAUUAGGCCCUGGGUUCGAUUCCUCAGCACCA